rnacentral:lncRNA from 1 species
GCUUCUUCCAAAAUCUCUUUCUUCAAUUCUGGAAUAUCUGGAACACAUAAUCUAUUACCCAUAGCCAACGCCCCAUCAUCUCUAAUCACAUAAUCCGUUCUUAACCCAGUACUAACUUCUGCUUUCAAUAUUCUCAAUGUCUGGUCUUGAGAUUGAGCUUCUCUAACCUUAUCAAUCAAAGUAGGCCUCACCUGAAAAUGAGCUAAUAUUGCCCCUGAAGUAGUAGUUGUCAACUCAGUGUGUAACUUCUUGAACUCACAAAUCAAAGAAGCAUAAACUGCACUUGAUGGAGAAGCUGAACUUGUCUUUCUACUGAGAGCAUCUGCAACUACAUUUGCUUUCCCCGGAUGGUAGUCAAUGUUACAAUCAUAAUCCUUUAUCAACUCCAGCCAUCUCCUUUGCCUUAGAUUCAGUUCUUUCUGAUCAAAUAUAUACUUUAAACUUUUGUGAUCAGUAAAUAUUUGACAUUUCUCACCAUAAAGAUAAUGUCUCCAAAUCUUCAAUGCCAACACUACUGCAGCUAACUCCAAAUCAUGAGUUGGGUAAUUUAACUCAUGCUUCUUCAAUUGUCUUGAAGCAUAAGCUACAACUUUCCCAUUUUGCAUUAAAACACAACCCAAUCCUUGGCGUGAAGCAUCACUAUAAAUCACAAACUCCUCACCUGGAGAUGGAAGAGUAAGUAUAGGAGCAGAAACUAAUCUUUUCUUCAACUCUUGAAAACUCUUUUCACAUUCAUCAGUCCACACAAAUUUGGAGUUCUUUCGAGUCAAACUAGUCAAAGGAAGAGCAAUUUUGGAAAAAUGCUCUACAAAUCGACGAUAAUAACCUGCUAACCCAAGAAAACUCCGUACUUCUGUAACAUUAGUAGGGCGUUCCCAUUUCAUUACUGCUUCAAUUUUCUGAGGAUCUACAUAAAUACCUUCAGCUGAGAUAACAUGACCUAAAAAUACAACUUUAUCCAGCCAAAAUUCACAUUUGCUGAACUUAGCAUACAACUGCUUAUCUCGCAAGGUUUGCAAAAUAAUCCUCAAAUGCUCAGCAUGCUCAUCCCUACUGCGAGAAUAAACUAAGAUAUCAUCAAUAAAAACAAUCACAAAUCUGUCUAAAUAUGGGCGAAGCACUCUAUUCAUCAAAUCCAUAAACGCUGCAGGGGCAUUAGUUAACCCAAAUGGCAUCACCAAAAACUCAUAAUGGCCAUACCGUGACCGAAAAGCAGUCUUCGGUACAUCAACAUCUCUAAUUCUGAGCUGAUGAUAACCUGAACGUAAAUCAAUUUUCGAAAACACUGAGGCACCUCUAAGUUGGUCAAACAAAUCAUCAAUGCGAGGCAACGGAUACUUGUUGCGAACUGUCACUUUAUUCAACUGUCUGUAGUCAACACACAAUCUCAUUGUGCCAUCUUUCUUCUUCACAAACAAGACUGGAGCUCCCCAUGGAGAUACACUGGGUCUAAUGAAACCCUUAUCAACUAAAUCCUGCAACUGAACUUUCAAUUCCUUCAACUCUGCUGGAGCCAUUCUGUAAGGUGAUUGUGAAAUAGGGGUAGUCCCUGGAAUCAAAUCAAUAGUAAACUCGAUUUCCCUAUCAGGAGGUAACCCUGGAAGAUCUUCAGGAAAAACAUCAGGGAAAUCUUUUGCCACUGGUAUAUCUUCAAGUUUCAAUUUAGUGAUCUGAGUGUCAAUCACAUGAGCUAAAUAUGCUUGGCAACCUUUUCUAAGCAAUCUCCCAGCAUCAAGUGCUGAUAUGAUACAUGAAGGUAGUAUUCUCCGUUCACCACUAAAAAUGAUUUCAGGCUCUCCUGGCCUUCGAAACACCACUUCUUUGCGAAAACAAUCAACUGAUGCAUGAUUCACAGACAAAAAAUCCAUGCCCAAUAUCACAUCAAAAUCAUGAAUAUCAAGUGGAAUCAAAUUAGCUUUCAACUCAUGAUCAUUCACACUAAUCACGCAAUCUUUGUACACACUGUUAGCUAAAAGUGAAUCUCCUACAGGAGUUGCUACCACCAAAUCACUAUCUAAUGAUUCUGACAUAUGGUCCGCAUAAAUAGCAAAUGCAUAAGAUAUAAAUGAAUGUGUAGCACCUGAAUCUAUUAAAGAACGAGCCUUCUUGCCAAAAAUAGAUAACGUACCCAUAACCACAUCUGGUGACUCAUCGGCAUCAUGCUGUGUCACUGCAAACACUCUUCCCUGAGUUUUGGGUCGUCCAACCUGGCUUUUCUGUCUAGUACCACUGCUGCCAGCAGCAUCAGACUGAGUAGCACUAGUAGCACCUGCUUUGCCUGCCAAAAUAUUCUGAUUCUGAUUCUGUCUAGCAAUGCCAGCACCUGACUGUAAGGAAACCCCCUGUGGUAUGCUACCCUGCUGGAAACGAACUGGACACUCUCUCCUCAUGUGUCCCGUCUGACCACAAUGAUAACACACUCCAAUUCCCUUAAGACACUCACCAGGGUGAAAUUUCCCACACAACUGACACUGGGGAAAUCUGGCCACACCAGAGCUAUCACUCUGUCCAGGAGUAAAUGAUCUCUGAGAAGAUCUCUGAGUCUGAGUACGGUUACUCCCUGGCUGCUGUACUGAUCCCUGACUCGACCUCGAGCCCUGACUGCCAUGAGAUCUGGACUUAAAACUACCAGAAGUGGAAAUACCUAAUCCACCUCCUCUGCGAUCCCUCCUCGAUGGCCUAAUCAUAGAUCUUCCUGCCCAUGACUGACUACUGCUUCCAAUUCCCAGUCUCAUUUGUUGUUGACUACCAUGUCGUUCAGACAAACUUUUCUCAACCCUUAAUGCUGCUUCUACAAGUUUACCCAAAUUUUCAUACCCAGAUGCAGUCACCACUGAUCUAAUUUCUUCUUUCAGGCCAUACUCAAAUCUUCUGCAUUUAUCAACUUCAUCAGCUACCAGAGCAGCAGCAUACUUUGACAAUUCUAGAAAUUUCUUCUGAUACUCUGCCACUGUUGAUGUCUGUACUAGUCUCAAAAAUUCAUUCUGUUUGUCAGUCUUAUAAGAACGAGGGUAGAAAUGCUCAUUAAAAUCAUCUUUAAACUCGCCCCACGUGAUCACAGAAGGAUCAACAUAUUUACCCUGUACGGAUUUCCACCAAUCAUAAGCACUUCCUUCUAACAAGAAGGUAGCUAAUCGUAAUUUUCGAUCAUCAGGGCAAUCCAUGACAUCAAAUAUUCUUUCUAUCCUCACCAUCCACGAUUCUGCAUCUACUGGAUCAGCUGUGCCUGUAAAUACUUUAGCUCCUAAUUUAGUAGCCCGCUCUAUACUAUAAUCUUUAUCUGUAUUGCGUAGAGCAGAAGCAACAGCAGUGGCAAUCCUAUCAGCUAUUAAGUCAGGCUGGGCUACAUCCCCAUAUCUCCGCUGAUCAUAGGUCGGAUGAACUGAUUCCUCGACCCUACUGGCAUCCCUAUCAGGAGCAGCUGGUGGUUGAGACGACAUAUCUUGGAGCCUGCGUGUCUUAUUACCACGAGCCAUGACUUCCAACUACAAAAUAUGUAUGAUAUGAUGAGAACAAAAUUUAAGUAAACCAUGCAAACUGACUUUAUAACCAUGCUCUGAUACCAAUUGACACGACCCGUCCCGAUCACCCUAAUGGAUACGACACGUGUCGG